CAAGUUUGUAGACAAAAAUACGAAUGUCUAGGGUACCAAAUCAUUAUAAAUACAGGCUUUUGGAUCGGCAAGCAGCACAGUAAGAUAGCACAAUAGCAGACGUACACAGCUCUCAAAGCCUCGCUGGAAUCAGCAGGUAUAUGCAUGGCGUCCUUGGGUAAUAGAGGUGCCAGCCGUUUCAUGGCGCUCCUCAAGAUGGCUCUCCUCGUCGUCGUCACCACCUUCAUUAUCAACAGCUCCGUCUGCCUUGGAGCUGCCGGCCACCACAAUACUGCAGGCCCUCCUACUGUCAACCAUCGCGGGUGCCUUGGCAAGUACUAUUGCCGCCCGCCGGCUGGUGGCCAACCCUAAUUAUAUUAGAUCAGGGACGCAGCUUGCUACUCACCACUCAUCUUCCUUUUUGUAUGGGUGAAUCGUUGAAUAAACUUAUUCGGAUCACUUGGGUAUAAUACCUCCUCUGUCCGCAACUGAUGAAGAGUGGCAACAGAUCCUGGUGUCCAGUACCAAUAAAUGAACCUAUACAUUUGUGUCCGCAUAUUACCAGUUUGUUACCUGGACUUGUAAUAGUUUGCUGGUUAUUUUGUAAAACAGCCGUUUGGUUGAUC